rnacentral:rRNA from 1 species
UACAGGGGGUGCAACCGUUGCUCGGAAUCAUUGGGCGUAAAGCGCACGUAGGCGGUUCGUUAUGUCGGAUGUGAAAGCCCUUGGCUUAACCGAGGAAGUGCAUCCGAAACUGGCGAGCUAGAGUACUAAAGAGGAAGCUAGAACGAACGGUGUAGUAGUGAAAUGCGUUGAUAUCGUUCGGAAUACCAAUAGCGAAGGCAGGCUUCUGGGUACUACCUGACACUGCUAGGACGAAAGCGUGGGGAGCGAAUGGG